AGUGAACGCUGGCGGUAGGCCUAACACAUGCAAGUCGAACGGCAGCACAGUAAGAGCUUGCUCUUACGGGUGGCGAGUGGCGGACGGGUGAGGAAUACAUCGGAAUCUACUUUUUCGUGGGGGAUAAUGUAGGGAAACUUACGCUAAUACCGCAUACGACCUACGGGUGAAAGCAGGGGAUCUUCGGACCUUGCGCGAUUGAAUGAGCCGAUGUCGGAUUAGCUAGUUGGCGGGGUAAAGGCCCACCAAGGCGACGAUCCGUAGCUGGUCUGAGAGGAUGAUCAGCCACACUGGAACUGAGACACGGUCCAGACCCCUACGGGAGGCAGCAGUGGGGAAUAUUGGACAAUGGGCGCAAGCCUGAUCCAGCCAUACCGCGUGGGUGAAGAAGGCCUUCGGGUUGUAAAGCCCUUUUGUUGGGAAAGAAAAGCAGCAGGUUAAUACCCCGCUGUUCUGACGGUACCCAAAGAAUAAGCACCGGCUAACUUCGUG
rnacentral:rRNA from 1 species